UACGUAGGGUCCGAGCGUUGUCCGGAAUUACUGGGCGUAAAGCGUGCGUAGGUGGUUCGUUAAGUCUGAUGUGAAAGCCCUGGGCUCAACCUGGGAAUGGCAUUGGAUACUGGCGACCUAGAGUGCGGUAGAGGGGUGUGGAAUUCCCGGUGUAGCAGUGAAAUGCGUAGAUAUCGGGAGGAACAUCUGUGGCGAAGGCGACACCCUGGACCAGCACUGACACUGAGGCACGAAAGCGUGGGGAGCAAACAGG
rnacentral:rRNA from 1 species